CCUACGGGAGGCAGCAGUGAGGAAUAUUGGUCAAUGGACGGAAGUCUGAACCAGCCAUGCCGCGUGCAGGAAGACGGCUCUAUGAGUUGUAAACUGCUUUUGUACAAGGGUAAACCUGAAUACGUGUAUUCAGCUGAAAGUACUGUACGAAUAAGGAUCGGCUAACUCCGUGCCAGCAGCCGCGGUAAUACGGAGGAUCCAAGCGUUAUCCGGAUUUAUUGGGUUUAAAGGGCGCGUAGGCGGAUUGAUAAGUUAGAGGUGAAAUGUCCGAGCUCAACUCCAUCCAGCCGUUGAAACUGGGGAUCUAGAGUGUGCGAGAGGUAUGCGGAAUGCGUGGUGUAGCGGUGAAAUGCAUAGAUAUCACGCAGAACCCCGAUUGCGAAGGCAGCAUACCGGUGCACAACUGACGCUCAGGCACGAAAGCGUGGGUAUCGAACAGGAUUAGAUACCCUUGUAGUC
rnacentral:rRNA from 1 species